rnacentral:rRNA from 1 species
CCUACGGGAGGCAGCAGUGGGGAAUUUUGGACAAUGGGCGCAAGCCUGAUCCAGCCAUGCCGCGUGCGGGAAGAAGGCCUUCGGGUUGUAAACCGCUUUUGUCAGGGAAGAAAUCCUUUGGGCUAAUACCUCGGAGGGAUGACGGUACCUGAAGAAUAAGCACCGGCUAACUACGUGCCAGCAGCCGCGGUAAUACGUAGGGUGCGAGCGUUAAUCGGAAUUACUGGGCGUAAAGCGUGCGCAGGCGGUUAUGCAAGACAGAUGUGAAAUCCCCGGGCUUAACCUGGGAACUGCAUUUGUGACUGCAUAGCUCGAGUACGGCAGAGGGGGAUGGAAUUCCGCGUGUAGCAGUGAAAUGCGUAGAUAUGCGGAGGAACACCGAUGGCGAAGGCAAUCCCCUGGGCCUGUACUGACGCUCAUGCACGAAAGCGUGGGGAGCAAACAGGAUUAGAUACCCUGGUAGUCCACGCCCUAAACGAUGUCAACUGGUUGUUGGACGGCUUGCUGUUCAGUAACGAAGCUAACGCGUGAAGUUGACCGCCUGGGGAGUACGGCCGCAAGGUUGAAACUCAAAUGAAAUUGACGG